rfam:Asian citrus Psyllid, Diaphorina citri - Florida Strain, whole genome shotgun sequence.
GCCAGCGGUGAUGGCACGUUGAAUGUACUGGUUUUCAUAGGAUCACUGCAGUUAAGGAAGGUUGUGCGGGGUUGGUAUACGGUUGGGUGACCAUUUGAGAAAUCACGAAUCACGUAUUGCUGAUU